CGUGUAGGCGGCCUCUUAAGUCUGGUGUGAAAGCCCGGGGCUUACCCCCGGAAGGGCACUGGAAACUGGAAGGCUGGAGUACCGGAGAGGAGGGUGGAAUUCCUGGUGUAGCGGUGAAAUGCGUAGAUAUCAGGAGGAACACCGGUGGCGAAGGCGGCCCUCUGGACGGAUACUGACGCUGAGACGCGAAAGCGUGGGGAGCAAACAGGAUUAGAUACCCUGGUAGUCCACGCCGUAAACGAUGGGCACUAGGUGUUCGGGGUAUUGACCCCCUGAGUGCCGCAGCUAACGCAUUAAGUGCCCCGCCUGGGGACUACGGCCGCAAGGUUAAA
rnacentral:rRNA from 1 species